CCGCAGCUCAACCCGGACACCCGAACCCCCUCAGACCGCCGUGAAACCCUGAGCCUCGGUUUGUCCCGUGUGUGGGCAAGGGGACGAGGAGAAAACUUCUGAAAGGGAGGCGCAGACUUUACUUUCUUUCGGCUUGGCCACUCUACCUGGACAAGAGACUGAGGCUGGAGUGGCUAAGGCCAUCUGCUGCUCAUCCUGAAGACCUGAGUUGAUUUCCAGCACCCAUACCCAGUGGCUCACAGUUGCAUGUAACUUCAGCUUGAGGGAAGGACUCCCUCGUCUGGCCUCCUCCCUCCCCCGCAUACAUACACAAACGAAAUGAAGAUUUUAAACAUUAUCAUUGCAUGUGUAUAGGUCAGAGGGCAGCUUUUGGGAGUUGGUUCUCUUCUUCUACUUUGUUGAGACUAAGGCUGUGUUGAAGUCACUAUGGGACACUGUGAGUGUCGCUGGUUUACAUGGACUGAUCAAUCGAAGAGAGCCACAACAGGAUGAAUUCAAACUGAAUUCAUAUAUAAAUGAAGUUCUUUUUUUUUUUUUUUUUUUUUUUUUUGGAGCUGGGGACCGAACCCAGGGCCUUGCGCUUCCUAGGUCUUGGCACCGCAGUGCCCCAAGAUAUCUGAUGGAUACCUUCAUCUCAGUCAGCAAAGUCUCUCACCUGCUUUGUUCUAUCUCAUAUCACGCUGCUGGUGGCGUCUCUCUGAGCCUGGCAACAAUCUUUCUCCCCAUCCAGUUCCCAAGGCAGGUAUACACAUGUCUCCAGCCACCACACACUCUCUUGAACUUAAACCGCCACAUGAAAGAACACACAACACAAUAACCUCUGAUCCAAUUGAUAAGAUAUAAUUGCCCACCUAAACAUACAAAGCCCUGGACAUAUACAUCCCUUAAGAAUAUUCAUAACAACCUGUAAGUGUACAGAGAGGGAUCUUAACAUCCACCUCCAUUUUCUCCUAGCUGCUUCUCUCCUCUGGUUCCAGUCUCCUCUCUCUAAAACUUUUCUCCCGCCCAUCCUUCCUUCUCGUCCAAUGACAGGCCUCAUUCUAUCUUGUACCUGCCUUCACCUGUAUGACAUCAUCCUACAAUCACCUAAGCAAUUCUCAACCAUGGGAGAUGUCCCGGUUUGCCAGACCUAUCUCCUGACUAUGAUAUGCAAAGGCUGAAAAAACCUUCAAAGGAAUAACCCCAUAAAAAUCUCAGAUAACAAUCACUGACAAAAGCUACUUCAAAGCUUAGGUGCCAUUACUCCAGAUUCAUGGCAGAUACAAACAUUCUGUUAAAAUUCUGCUACAGGGCACCUCUAUAAUCCAGGGCUAAUUUAUAAUCCAAGUCUCUGAUUUUUCCUCUUUAACCUAAAGCCUGUCCACGCUGUUCCUGACAUGAUAUUUCAGCAUUAUCUUCUGGUGACUUUUCUUUUGCUUACUGCCUCAUUCCUGGUGCUCUUCAAACCACACAGGCUUUAUACUCCCAGCUGGCCCAUCUCUUCUCCUGUCCCCUCCCCUAUAUGAUAUCUACCUCUUUUACUUUUUAUUUACUCCAAAGGACUUCUGAUGAAGGAGCCAUUUUCCCAAGAUUUUCUACUCUACUAUGUGCCUUAGAUUGCAUUCCCUGGUCACCAGUGAUGUGCUAGGUGCUGAGCCCAGCUGGCAUGGGACAUUUCAUUCUGGUGCCUACUUCUUGGUCUUCAUGAUUCCGUAUCACUGGAUUUUCUCCUGCCUCAUGGGUCAGUCCUUCAGCGUUCAUCUGUUUUCUCUAAAUGUCAGUGGAUACUCCAGCUUUUUAGUUGUCCCUACAUUUUGCUCUCCUUUGGUGAUGCUGUUCUGUCACCUGUCCACCCAACUAGUCCAAUCACCCAUCACACCUCCCACAGGCACUUUCCUUUCAGUUUGUCCCACAUCAGACUACUCAUUUUCCUGUUCCCUCUGUCAUUUUGGUAAGAAGCAUGGUACUUGUUUAGCUGUUUAGCCAGAAAGCCGGGAAAUACUGACUCCAUGUCACAUUGGCAUUGUCACAUCAUUCCAUGUGUUUCCCACCAUGACUGCUAAGUAGACUGAAACAGUCUUUAUCUAGAGCCUGCUUUCCUGCUUUGCUCUCUGACUCUAUUCUCUACAAGGAAGCCAGUGACUUCCCCCAGAUCCUCUCUGCUGUUGGUGCUGAGUAUCAAACCCGGGGCCAUCCACAUGCUAAGCAAGCAAUCUGCCGCCUAAAAGGAAGAUCUGAUCAUAUUGCUUCCAUCUUUAAAAAUCUUCUGCUGGGUUUCUGCUGAGAUGAAAUCCAAGCUUCUCAGUGUGGCUCUUCAGAUGCUGGCUACUUUUUCCCCACAAAGCUCCAUGAUCCACUCAGAAAGCCACUUUGAAUCCUGCUAUAGACUGAAUGUCAGUAGCCAGAAGCUGGAGCUUUAUAGAAGUUGACUAGAUGAAUGACUCCAUUUCAUUCGCUAGAACCAUGGUUGCCAUUGCCGUAGAACUCAGGUAACAGGAUACAAGCUUGCAAACAAGAUGUCUCCCACAGAGAAUUUAAGAAAUACUCUCAAGAGGAUGAGG
ensembl:lncRNA